UAUGGUAAUUAUGAUCCUUUCUUAAGGCAUUUAUACCUCCUAUAGCUGAAGAUAUAUAUAUGGUGGAGCUUAUAGGAGUGCUAACAAGGAUAAGCACACUUACAAUGCAUGUAUUGUAAAUUCAGCUAAUGGAUCCAAAGAGAAUCGAGGCAUACAAUCAAACCAAGGUGCGCAUGUGUAUGGAAUGUAGUGGAUAGGUGUAUUUGUGGUAUUUGUGGCUAAUUUCUAUUUUUUUUUUGAAAAUAACUCUCUAUUAAAACUUCUUAGGAAAGACAUGGGCUAUCUUUAUUAUUCUCUCUCUUUUUUUCACAGGGAGGCGGGCAUCUAGUACCCAUUGUUUUAAUUAUUGGGACACUUGUCCAUCUUUUACUUCCUUUUCUUCUUUUAUAUUUUUGCAUAGCCACAUGUAUCCUUUCAAUGCAAUAAAUGAUUAGAGAGGUCA
rnacentral:lncRNA from 1 species